rnacentral:rRNA from 1 species
AACGAACGCUGGCGGCAUGCCUAACACAUGCAAGUCGAACGAGACCUUCGGGUCUAGUGGCGCACGGGGGCGUAACGCGUGGGAACCUGCCCUUAGGUUCGGAAUAACUCCCCGAAAGGGGUGCUAAUACCGGAUAAUGUCUUCGGACCAAAGAUUUAUCGCCUUUGGAUGGGCCCGCGUUGGAUUAGCUAGUUGGUAGGGUAAAAGCCUACCAAGGCGACGAUCCAUAGCUGGUCUGAGAGGAUGAUCAGCCACACUGGGACUGAGACACGGCCCAGACUCCUACGGGAGGCAGCAGUGGGGAAUAUUGGACAAUGGGCGAAGGCCUGAUCCUGCUAUGCCGCGUGAGUGAUGAAGGCCUUAGGGUUGUAAAGCUCUUUUACCCGGGAUGAUAAUGACGGUACCGGGAGAAUAAGCUCCGGCUAACUCCGUG